CACCGCCACCACACCCGUCGGACCAUCGGUCAAAGAGCGGCAUCACCUCCACUGUCAAAACCUCAUCCCUUUCUCCUCUUUUUCUUUGAAAAAAAGAGCACCAACGGCUCUCUCCUCUCAAAAAUCACUCUGAAAAGUUAAAGAAUUCAGACCCUCUUCAUCAUUUUCCCUCUCUUUAAGAUUCCCAUAGAUUCCCCCUCUUUUCCUUGAACUUGAAUUUCAAAUUUUAGCUUCUUGAAGAAGCCACUGAGGUCUCAACUCCAUGCUAUAAAUACAACCUUCUCUUGGCUAAGAAAAAAAAAAACGGCAAAAGCUGAAAAUUCCCUUUGAACUAGGCUUUUGAUUGAGAGAAAAUUCCCAUUUUUCUUACUAUUUUCAAAGCUUUGGCUAUCUGAAAAAAUCCUAUUUUAAAGUCUAGGUUCUCUGCUAAGCAGAGCUACAAAAUACUUAGGUCUCAUUCUUUUACUGUUCGCAACAACAAAAACUACUUUGAGCGGAUUCGAGGACUCGAUGACGACAAUAGCCUCAGUUCGCUGCACGAAGAAGGUAACCACUCUAGUCUUCAUCUCAUUUUUUUUUAGUUUAUUAGAAGUAAAAUAUAGUUGUUAAUUUUGUUGUUAAUGUUGUCGACUUGAACCUGCUGCUGCUCUGUUGUGCCUUAAGUCUAUACAUAGGAUCAGUAAUAUGGAAGAAUCACACUUAGAAGAAUUAGUUGUUAAUUCAUCAAACAUGUGUUCGACUUUGUUGCUCGCCUAAUUUUUUGUUAGAGCUUGAGCUGUUGUAAUUUUGUGGUCUGAAUCCGUAUGAAAAUGGCUAGAAAGACUAACGACUCUCAGGAAAAUAUUAGUCUACUUGGUGAAUAGGUGAAUGACUUCACUACUUUAAGCCCUGAUUUAAUACCUUAAUGAGUUUGGUUUGAUAUGAUAUCAGAAUAGAAUCAACUCAAGAAUACUUGUAAUGUAUUGUGAUAAGCUUGUUUGUUAAUUCACUUCUUUUAAAAAUCUAUCUCUAUAGUUUGCAUGAUCUGAUGGCCGCUUUGCUUAAAAAUUUCCUUGCUGGAUUAUCAGUUUACUACAGGUUUGAGAUUUUUUUUUUUUUCUUUUCUUAAAGACAUGUUCAUGCUAAGUAUACUUGUUUUCUUUAUACAAAAGGUUUAAAUUAACUAAGAUGGGUCUAUUGUGAAUCUGUAGGAAAACUUCUGUUCCUUCAGAAAUUUCCAAUAGCAGGACAUAGUUGAGCAUCUCAAUUGUUGAACUAAUUUUACACUCUAUUUGUAUUCAAGAAACUGAUUAUGCUAAUGAGCCCAUCCCCUGUAUGUUAAUCUAAAGAAGAAGAAAAAAACAUUCUAGUUUGAUAAGACCCCUGUUUGGUUGUGUUUUCCUCUUCAACUUGGGUUGGCUAGAAAUACAUAAGAUGAUUAGAUUCAUGCUCGUUUGAGUUAAAAUCCACCUUGCAACAUGAAACCUGGACCUACUUGUUUCCCUAGAUUGGUAUCACAAUGGUUUGGGAUAAGCUGUUUGAGGAUCAUAAGAAAUUAAAAUGUGUACUUGUGAACUCAAGAUCUCCUAUUGAGAUGAGUUUAUUUACUGAAGCUUGUGUAUGUUACUUUCUUAGUCAUUCAUCUAUGUGUCAGCAACAAGAAAAAUGAGUGCUAAUUAGUUUUUCCAGUUAGUUUUAAAUUUUCAGAAGUUAGGCUUUGUCAAUAUCUAGUAUUCUCAAGUCUUAAAACAUUUAUGUAACCUGUUAAUAACAAAGACAAUGUGCCACUACAUUUGGCCAUGAUUUAAUGCCCGAAUCCUCUUUUGUGAUAAGUAUUUGGGGUGUUUCUUUUGUCGUUCAGUUCCCGUGGAUCAAUUACCUCAUUUUGCUGCUUUGUAUACUCUUCUAAAAGUGAAUAGACAUUUAUUUGGACAGUUUAGAUGUCAUGUGUACGUUUUUUUAGAAUAUAUUGAAGUAUUUGUCUCCAGGUUGUGUGUAUUUUACUAUCUAGUUCUACUUCCUAUUUGUGUUUCCGAGAUGACUCUAAUCCUUAUCUUUUCUUUCUUUUUUCAUGACCAUCGUGGGAGUAUGUGGGAGUUGUAGCUUAACUCCAAUUCUGCCCAGAAGCAUAGGAACAGCCAGCAGCUGCACGUCUUGUUCGCGUCUAGCAACCCCGUUUUCGCCAAAGAGUCCAUGUCAUCCUUUCCUCUCUUCAUACUUUCAUCCUUUUGCGUUAAUGUAUAUGUACAUGUUUUGACUAACUCCGUGUGGAUUCGAUAUCUUGUGCUGGUGCAGUACUUGGAUUGUGUUUGGGUUUGUAUAAACCAUUUAAGUGUGAUAAUGAAUUUAGACAUUACCUCUUUACCCCCUUCAGAUAUCAGAUUCGGUACAAAAAAAUAGUUUAGGUAUACGUAACACUAUUUUGCUAGACUGGUUUUCUCCGCUCCGAUUUCAACUUUUUUCAGAAUUGCAAAAGAAUGCUUCUUGAAGGUCACUAUCUGA